AGUCUUGCCUAUCCCUGGGCCACCGUCAAACAAAGCUGCUAAUUCUAAAGCUUUAAGUUUCAAAUUGAGAAAUAUUGUUCUAAUAUGGCAACAAUGGGGCUGUUGUCCUUUCAAGAGCUCUGCGAUUACAGGCUCGUUUUAUGCAAAACAAAUGGCAGGUGCCCAACACCUUGAUCAGUGCCUGCUUUGUAGUAGGCAUUCAAAUACUGUGGACUGGAUGAAUGGAGUCACUUCCCUUCCAACCUGCACACCAACGUGGUUGAACUGCCUCCUUUCUAAGUGCCAAAGUCUGUUUUACAAGGCUGUAAGUGAAAUCACUGACAUGGAAAUUAUAUUUUCAAAAUUAAAGGAACAAUUUUCUAAAGAAA
rnacentral:lncRNA from 1 species